GACGAACGCUGGCGGCGUGCUUAACACAUGCAAGUCGAACGGAAAGGCCCUGCUUUUGUGGGGUGCUCGAUUGGCGAACGGGUGAGUAACACGUGAGUAACCUGCCCUUGACUUUGGGAUAACUUCAGGAAACUGGGGCUAAUACCGGAUAGGAGCUCCUGCUGCAUGGUGGGGGUUGGAAAGUUUCGGCGGUUGGGGAUGGACUCGCGGCUUAUCAGCUUGUUGGUGGGGUAGUGGCUUACCAAGGCUUUGACGGGUAGCCGGCCUGAGAGGGUGACCGGCCACAUUGGGACUGAGAUACGGCCCAGACUCCUACGGGAGGCAGCAGUGGGGAAUAUUGCACAAUGGGCGGAAGCCUGAUGCAGCAACGCCGCGUGCGGGAUGACGGCCUUCGGGUUGUAAACCGCUUUCGACUGUGACGAAGCGUGAGUGACGGUAAUGGGUAAAGAAGCACCGGCUAACUACGUG
rnacentral:rRNA from 1 species